UUCCAGAUUUGCUUCUCCCGCCGACCUAAUUUCCCGACGUCACUACCGCUUCGUCCGACCACCUAUGACCAUAAAAUUAGUACCUAUCUCUUCGUCUUGAAACAAGCUUUCCAUCAAUAUAUGCCUUGCAUCCUAUCAUGCACUAUAGACGACGAAUAGAAGGCAAGAGUUUACUGUAGCAAUUGGGUUUUUCGGCUAUUUUUUCAAAUUCCGGCCAAAUCGGAUGUUGAGGCUAACUGGGCUUUGUUCCUCUUGCCAUUUUCUACCAACCUACCAAGUUUCAUCAUCAAAUUGGAGCCGUGGAAGGAGAAUCGGAGAUUUGAGCAAAAUUGAGGGUUUUUCGGUUUUCAGGACGUGAGGAGGAACCACACCGGGAGAAACUUCGAAUAAAGGGCAAGCUUAGCCGUAUACUUUUGCAGGCGAGAUUAGUAGAGGUCGAACGUACAUGGAGUCGAGGCAUAGUUGUCACUGCUUCCAAUUGUUAGGGUUGUCCAUUUUAGGGAAAGUUUUGCCGAAUUUUCUCGAAAAAUGGGCCCCGCAGGGUCACCUUGGAUUUCAGGGUGAAAUCUCGGGUCGGGUCUUGUCAUCCUCCUUCGUCCUCGUCAAGCCCGAUUUAGGCCACUCCGUCCUCCGUCAAGCCCGAUUCAGGCCACCGCACUUCUCAGAGAAGUGAGCUCAGCAAAACCAAAGUUUCAUCUCAAAACUCACACACUCUCUCAUUGCCCAUCAACCACAGGCCACCACACACUCAAAUCCCUGUGAGAUCUUCUAGAUCCAAAAGGGUCUAUGUUUCUUUCAUAUCCAGAUCCUAAACCCUAUCCCACAAGAUCUCCAAGCCCAUAACUCGAAAACCCAAUUUCGACCGGCCUCCUCCUCUGCCUUUUGCUCCGAUUAUCCCCAAAACGCAUCGGUUCAGCUCCAAUCCUCUACUACACUGCCUCAACAGUAGCCGCCAUUGCAGCACCAGCCUCCGGUCUACAACGUCGUCCAGAAGCUGACCUGUUCACCGACCAACACGCAAGACCGGUUCGCUACUCUUUUGCCGAUUCACCAACCUAAAACUCAAAGCUCGAGGUUCUAGCGCAUCCGCCCUCCGCCGCUGGCACAGCUCACCCCUCGGCCGCCUCCUCUUCUGCCCAAGACUCCUCAUCAUCUCGAACCGCAUCCCCUACACUCAGCUCCUCGAAUUGAACCGGGAAUCGAAGCUCAAGCAUGUAAAUAAGCCUCCAGUAAUCGAAUUGUUGUAGAAGGCCAAAAUGGUCUUGGUGGUUCUCGACGAUUCCAGAGUGCUACGUUGUUGGAGGUGCCUCUGCCGUACUUGAGUUUUCUGGCGAGAAUGCCGGCAGUGGUGGCGUGGUUUUUGAGGACGAGGAAGCCGGCGAAGAAGGAGGAGUUGGAGAGAAUGAGGAAUGAGAGAGAGAUGAUUUGGUUUUAGGCUGUGGACAAGUGAAGCAGAAGAGAGAUGGAAAACAAGGGGCAAUUUCGACAAUUACCACAAUCUGAGGGGACAAAGCUGAAAAGUGGGCCAUAGUGUCGAGGCCAACUCAGCGCAUGACGUUACAUUUAGAGCCAAGUUUGAAUUUUGGAC